rnacentral:rRNA from 1 species
GAUGAACGCUGGCGGCGUGCUUAACACAUGCAAGUCGAACGAAGCACUUUAUUUGAUUUCCUUCGGGACUGAUUAUUCUGUGACUGAGUGGCGGACGGGUGAGUAACGCGUGGGUAACCUGCCUUGUACAGGGGGAUAACAGUUGGAAACGGCUGCUAAUACCGCAUAAGCGCACAGCAUCGCAUGAUGCAGUGUGAAAAACUCCGGUGGUAUAAGAUGGACCCGCGUUGGAUUAGCUAGUUGGUGAGGUAACGGCCCACCAAGGCGACGAUCCAUAGCCGACCUGAGAGGGUGACCGGCCACAUUGGGACUGAGACACGGCCCAAACUCCUACGGGAGGCAGCAGUGGGGAAUAUUGCACAAUGGGCGAAAGCCUGAUGCAGCGACGCCGCGUGAGCGAAGAAGUAUUUCGGUAUGUAAAGCUCUAUCAGCAGGGAAGAUAAUGACGGUACCUGACUAAGAAGCACCGGCUAAAUACGUG